AUGUGUGAUUUACUAUGGUCUGUUCCUCAUGAUCGAUGUGGGUUAUCUCCACGUGGUGCUGGUUACACAUUUGGACAGCAUAACAAUGGACUCAGUCUCAUAUCAAGAGCACAUCAGCUUCUCAUGGAAGGUUUUAACUGGUGGCAGGUGUGAAUGUUCAUCUCAAUUGCCCAAAAGGCUCUGCCAAAGGCAUGAUUGGUCCGUCUAUCUAUUAUAACUGUGGAUUGAAUCAUUGAUCUUUCAAACCUUUUUAUGGUAACAGGAAAAGAAUGUGGUGACAGUGUUUAGUGCACCAAACUGUUUCUACCGGUGUGGAAAUUUUGUAAUGAUUCUACAGAUAAGAGGAACAUAUUUCAUCCAGUUUGAUCCAGCUCCUCGACAAGCCGAGAGAUCACAGAUCCUAAAACCUAUACAAUGACAUCUGCUCAGCAUGGAAAAGAGAAUCAGACUGCGUUUUACUAAACACAACCAAUAGCUUUCCUCUAUCUCCAUCUGGUAUAUUACAUCUAUAGAUUGCACGGGCUUUCCAGUAUCUUCUACCAAAUGUUUCCUCCCAUUGAGCAGUUAUGUUAAAAACUCAGUAUUGAGUUUGUUUCUUUCCCUCGAUUCAAGAAAACAUGAAGGCCGUUGAUGUGAUACCGUUGUUGACACCACAUGUUCUGGACAAGAUCGAGCAAGUUAUACAGAGCAAACCUAAACGUCCUGAAUCAUACCGGUAAAAGCCAAAUCCUGAGAUUGUUUGGAGGCUGUUUGACGGUUGCUCUUGGAUGUUAUCAUGUGUUGGCUCUGUUUGUUCUCAUAUGCAUUUUAAGACUCAGAGACAGAGAGAGCACUAUGUGUUGUGUUUUAGUUUUUGUUGUUUCCACUUUUUGAAAACAAGUAUAAUGUUUUUGAAACUUAAAAGUUGGCUUUUAUAGCUGUUGUCAAGAGGUCAGUAGUAAUGUAGUAUAUUGAAAAGCUCAUUAAAACGAUUGUUAACUGUGUUAAAAAAACGGUUGUUAACUAU